rnacentral:rRNA from 1 species
AGCUCCAAUAGCGUAUAUUAAAGUUGUUGCAGUUAAAAAGCUCGUAGUUGAACUUCUGAAUGUUGCGACAGUGGCUUCGGUCGUUGUAAUGGCAUUCAUCCGUCUGAGAACUAUAUUCGACCUUCACUGGUCGGUGUAGGGAUCAGACAUUUUACUUUGAAAAAUUAGAGUGUUCCAGGCAGGCAAUCGCCUUGAAUACACAAGCAUGGAAUAAUGGAAUAGGACUAUGGUUCAUUUUAUUGGUUAUUGGAUCAUAGUAAUGAUUAACAGGGACAGUUGGGGGCAUUAGUAUUUAAUUGUCAGAGGUGAAAUUCUUGGAUUUAUUAAAGACUAACUUAUGCGAAAGCAUUUGCCAAGGAUGUUUUCA